GACGAACGCUGGCGGCGUGCCUAAUACAUGCAAGUCGAACGCAGUGGGGACGGGUGAGUAAAACGUGGGUAACCUCCCACCAGAGGGGAUAACACGUGGAAACAGGUGAUAAACCGAUACAGAUGGAUGGACCCGCGGUGCAUUAGCUAGUUGGUGAGGUAACGGGUGACCAAGGCGACGAUGCAUAGGCAACAUCAAGGCGUGAUCGGUCAGGCGGUCACAGAGACACGGCCCAGACUCCUACGGGAGGCAGCAGUAGAGAAUCUUCGGGAAUGGACUAAAGGCUGACAGAGCAACGCGGCGUGAGUGAGGAAGGUUUUCUGAUCUGAGAACGCUGUUGUUAGAGAAGCGGUAUCUAACCAGAAAUCCCCGGCUAACUAUGUGCCAGCCGCCGCGGUAAUAC
rnacentral:rRNA from 1 species